rnacentral:rRNA from 2 species
UGGGGAAUAUUGCACAAUGGGGGAAACCCUGAUGCAGCCAUGCCGCGUGUGUGAAGAAGGCCUUCGGGUUGUAAAGCACUUUUGCAUUCGAGGAAGACAGCACGUAAAUAAACGUGUUAUUUGACGUUAGAGUGUGAAUAAGCACCGGCAAACUCCGUGCCAGCAGCCGCGGUAAUACGGAGGGUGCGAGCGUUAAUCGGAAUGACUGGGCGUAAAGGGCACGCAGGUGGCGAGAUAAGUUGGAUGUGAAAUUCCCGUGCUUAACAUGGGGACUGCAUCCAAAACUGUUGAACUGGAGUACUGUAGAGGGAGGUAGAAUUCCACGUGUAGCGGUGAAAUGCGUAGAGAUGUGGAAGAAUACCAGAGGCGAAGGCGGCCUCCUGGACAGAUACUGACACUGAGGUGCGAAAGCGUGGGUAGCAAACAGG